rnacentral:rRNA from 1 species
AGUCGAGCGAACAGAUAAGGAGCUUGCUCCUUUGACGUUAGCGGCGGACGGGUGAGUAACACGUGGAUAACCUACCUAUAAGACUGGGAUAACUUCGGGAAACCGGAGCUAAUACCGGAUAACAUAUUGAACCGCAUGGUUCAAUAGUGAAAGGCGGCUUUGCUGUCACUUAUAGAUGGAUCCGCGCCGUAUUAGCUAGUUGGUAAGGUAACGGCUUACCAAGGCAACGAUACGUAGCCGACCUGAGAGGGUGAUCGGCCACACUGGAACUGAGACACGGUCCAGACUCCUACGGGAGGCAGCAGUAGGGAAUCUUCCGCAAUGGGCGAAAGCCUGACGGAGCAACGCCGCGUGAGUGAUGAAGGUCUUCGGAUCGUAAAACUCUGUUAUCAGGGAAGAACAAAUGUGUAAGUAACUGUGCACAUCUUGACGGUACCUGAUCAGAAAGCCACGGCUAACUACGUGCCAGCAGCCGCGGUAAUACGUAGGUGGCAAGCGUUAUCCGGAAUUAUUGGGCGUAAAGCGCGCGUAGGCGGUUUUUUAAGUCUGAUGUGAAAGCCCACGGCUCAACCGUGGAGGGUCAUUGGAAACUGGAAAACUUGAGUGCAGAAGAGGAAAGUGGAAUUCCAUGUGUAGCGGUGAAAUGCGCAGAGAUAUGGAGGAACACCAGUGGCGAAGGCGACUUUCUGGUCUGUAACUGACGCUGAUGUGCGAAAGCGUGGGGAUCAAACAGGAUUAGAUACCCUGGUAGUCCACGCCGUAAACGAUGAGUGCUAAGUGUUAGGGGGUUUCCGCCCCUUAGUGCUGCAGCUAACGCAUUAAGCACUCCGCCUGGGGGAGUACGACCGCAAGGUUGAAACUCAAAGGAAUUGACGGGGACCCGCACAAGCGGUGGAGCAUGUGGUUUAAUUCGAAGCAACGCGAAGAACCUUACCAAAUCUUGACAUCCUUUGACCGCUCUAGAGAUAGAGUCUUCCCCUUCGGGGGACAAAGUGACAGGUGGUGCAUGGUUGUCGUCAGCUCGUGUCGUGAGAUGUUGGGUUAAGUCCCGCAACGAGCGCAACCCUUAAGCUUAGUUGCCAUCAUUAAGUUGGGCACUCUAAGUUGACUGCCGGUGACAAACCGGAGGAAGGUGGGGAUGACGUCAAAUCAUCAUGCCCCUUAUGAUUUGGGCUACACACGUGCUACAAUGGACAAUACAAAGGGCAGCUAAACCGCGAGGUCAAGCAAAUCCCAUAAAGUUGUUCUCAGUUCGGAUUGUAGUCUGCAACUCGACUACAUGAAGCUGGAAUCGCUAGUAAUCGUAGAUCAGCAUGCUACGGUGAAUACGUUCCCGGGUCUUGUACACACCGCCCGUCACACCACGAGAGUUUGUAACACCCGAAGCCGGUGGAGUAACCAUUUAUGGAGCNAGCCUC